rnacentral:rRNA from 1 species
UGGGGAAUUUUGCACAAUGGGGGAAACCCUGAUGCAGCGACGCCGCGUGAUUUAGAAGGCCUUCGGGUUGUAAAAAUCUUUUGUAUAGGAAGAAAAUGACAGUACUAUACGAAUAAGGACCGGCUAAUUACGUGCCAGCAGCCGCGGUAAUACGUAAGGUCCGAGCGUUGUCCGGAAUCAUUGGGCGUAAAGGGUACGUAGGCGGGUAAGCAAGUUAGAAGUGAAAUCCUAUAGCUCAACUAUAGUAAGCUUUUAAAACUGCUCAUCUUGGGGGAUGGAAGGGAAAGGGGAAUUCCGAGUGUAGCGGUGAAAUGCACAGAUAUUAGGAGGAAUACCGGUGGCAAAGGCGACUUUCCGGCCAUAACCUGACGCAGGGGUACGAAAGCGUGGGUAGCAAACAGG